CAGGAACCAAUCAUGUUUGGAAAUAUAUAGUGAGCUAUAGUAUGCUCAGUACCUGCCCCAUUUCACAAUGUUUUUCAUGUUCACGUACCUACUUGGUGGUUACUCUAAUGAUCCAAUCACAUAAAAAUUCGCUAAACGUUUGUGCCUCGUAGCCUGGGUGUGUACAGUGGACAAACAUGGCAAUACAGAGGUGUAUAGUAUUUGUCUAGCAAAAAUAUACAUAGAUAAAUCACCGUUGUACACCACUAGCUAACUUCCUCCAUGAAUUCUCUCUGUUGUUUCCUCCUCUGUCACUGUGUUAUGAUAUGACAUCGUAUAAAUAAUUUCACAUUUCCAAUUAUUUCCUUAUUAUUUUCAGCAUGAACCCUUUUUAUGUUUAUUUGAAAUAUUUGACAGCAGCAACCAACGCUGAUGCUUCCUUCAAGAAACGGCCACUGAUAUGUGGUGUGCAGAAGAACAAAUAAGCACCUCCUACCGGUACCAGUGUCAGUCAGUGUGGAAGCUUUCCAAGACGCUCCUUCGAGGAACCAGCUCGUGACACGAAUGUAGGCCAUGCAAGCACCUAACACGAAUCAUCACGUGCCGUGUACUAGGCGUCGGUACAUCACACGUCGCGCUUGAACGCAUGUGUGUCGGCUGAAGAACCGGCUAUUCAGUUUCCUGCAUUGGACAGCAGCAGUCAGUCAUGUUAGGCACGCAAGCGCUCCAGCCAUUUGAUGAAUGUUUGAUAAAUCACCCGGUCUUUCGUAUUGAUCAAUACACUGAUAUAGCCAAAGAACCCUAAUUUUAAGGUAUGAAACCACGAGAUGACCGAUAAAUCUUUGACGUUACCUAUUGAUAUGAAGCUUGUGCGAAAAAAGGCGUGCUGCUGUAGCAUCAUAUAUACUUUUGUCCCCCAAAGACAGGGAUACGAAUCCAUGUUUGAUAAAAGAACCCUCCCUCCAGAUAAUCCUGCCGCAUGUAGUCUUGAUCAAUAAAAAUACCAAACGACCUGUAACGACACUUAAGUAUGACAAAAGUAGUUGGAUUAUUUCAGAAGCAAAAUCUCACUUUCAGCUAAGCUUUUUGUACUCUGGUUACUUGAGUUCAUACAGUGUAUGCUAUAUUGUCAUGUGCUGUGUAAGGCUAAAAUAUGGUUCGACAAAUAUAUUUACUGUUAAUACUUGUUAUGUGUGGGCCUAGCCCGAACUUGAUACAACUAGGAUAAAGUUAGAACAAUGACUGAUCUACUGUAAAGCCCGCUACACCUGUCCUAUUGAGGUAGUUUAAGUCCAUUCCUGGAAGACUCCAGAUCCAGGAUAUGAUGCUGUUACAUAAUGCAUUGUUCACAAUAAAAUUGCAUUUUGUUGUACUGUUUAGGUAGUUUUGUUCCAACGACGAGUUGCAUAAUGCAUAUCCCUAUAUGAGCAGCAUAAUCAUCAAUUAAUCAUAGACUCCUCAUUUUAGUUUCACUCUUUCACACUAUUCCAGUCCUUUGGGAAAACUGCAGCAAUGCUUGCUGUUUAAUAUAAUAAGUGGCAGAUGAAAACGUUUUCACUCCACCUACGCUUGUCUGGGACCAAAAUUUUAAUCUGUCACUGAACUAAAACUGAAGCACCAAACAGCAACUAAAGAACGUUAAGCUGAACUGUAACUUGGUGGAAUCACUAUAGCAGUUGCCAGUGUCUAGGCAGUCUAGCUAGCUUGCUUAUUCUAUACGCAUCACCCUAACAACCCGGCUGCCUGCUGCAUCUGAUCCCACCGUCCCCUGCUCCAAACUAACCCUCCUUUUCUUACAUGCACUACACCCACUUCCUGCGGCUAUAUAUAGCACCAUAUGCCCAUCUUACGAGACCAUCCACAAGAGAAGAAACAAGCAAGUAGCAACACCCUCUUCUCUUGUAACAUAGUGCAGUAAAGGUUACUCACAUGACAACUUCCAUGGGUUCUCUCGUCUUGCUCUGCCUUGUUUCUACCCUCCUCUUUCCCAGUGCCGUCCUUGGCCACCCAUGGGGUGGCUUGUUCCCACAGUUCUAUGACCAUUCGUGCCCCAAGGCGAAGGAGAUUGUGCA
rnacentral:lncRNA from 1 species